rnacentral:rRNA from 1 species
GGUCAAGUGAAGAAGCGCAUACGGUGGAUGCCUUGGCAGUCAGAGGCGAUGAAAGACGUGGUAGCCUGCGAAAAGCUUCGGGGAGUCGGCAAACAGACUUUGAUCCGGAGAUGUCUGAAUGGGGGAACCCAGCCAUCAUAAGAUGGUUAUCUUGUACUGAAUACAUAGGUGCAAGAGGCGAACCAGGGGAACUGAAACAUCUAAGUACCCUGAGGAAAAGAAAUCAACCGAGAUUCCCUUAGUAGUGGCGAGCGAACGGGGACUAGCCCUUAAGUGGCUUUGAGAUUAGCGGAACGCUCUGGAAAGUGCGGCCAUAGUGGGUGAUAGCCCUGUACGCGAAAAUCUCUUAGUCAUGAAAUCGAGUAGGACGGAGCACGAGAAACUUUGUCUGAAUAUGGGGGGACCAUCCUCCAAGGCUAAAUACUACUGACUGACCGAUAGUGAACUAGUACCGUGAGGGAAAGGCGAAAAGAACCCCGGAGAGGGGAGUGAAAUAGAUCCUGAAACCGUAUGCGUACAAGCAGUGGGAGCCCACUUUGUUGGGUGACUGCGUACCUUUUGUAUAAUGGGUCAGCGACUUAUUUUCAGUGGCGAGCUUAACCGAAUAGGGGAGGCGUAGCGAAAGCGAGUCUUAAUAGGGCGUCUAGUCGCUGGGAAUAGACCCGAAACCGGGCGAUCUAUCCAUGGGCAGGUUGAAGGUUGGGUAACACUAACUGGAGGACCGAACCGACUACCGUUGAAAAGUUAGCGGAUGACCUGUGGAUCGGAGUGAAAGGCUAAUCAAGCUCGGAGAUAGCUGGUUCUCCUCGAAAGCUAUUUAGGUAGCGCCUCAUGUAUCACUGUAGGGGGUAGAGCACUGUUUCGGCUAGGGGGUCAUCCCGACUUACCAAACCGAUGCAAACUCCGAAUACCUACAAGUGCCGAGCAUGGGAGACACACGGCGGGUGCUAACGUCCGUCGUGAAAAGGGAAACAACCCAGACCGUCAGCUAAGGUCCCAAAGUUAUGGUUAAGUGGGAAACGAUGUGGGAAGGCUUAGACAGCUAGGAGGUUGGCUUAGAAGCAGCCACCCUUUAAAGAAAGCGUAAUAGCUCACUAGUCGAGUCGGCCUGCGCGGAAGAUGUAACGGGGCUCAAACCAUACACCGAAGCUACGGGUAUCACGUAAGUGAUGCGGUAGAGGAGCGUUCUGUAAGCCUGUGAAGGUGAGUUGAGAAGCUUGCUGGAGGUAUCAGAAGUGCGAAUGCUGACAUGAGUAACGACAAUGGGUGUGAAAAACACCCACGCCGAAAGACCAAGGUUUCCUGCGCAACGUUAAUCGACGCAGGGUUAGUCGGUCCCUAAGGCGAGGCUGAAAAGCGUAGUCGAUGGAAAACAGGUUAAUAUUCCUGUACUUCUGGUUAUUGCGAUGGAGGGACGGAGAAGGCUAGGCCAGCUUGGCGUUGGUUGUCCAAGUUUAAGGUGGUAGGCUGAGAUCUUAGGUAAAUCCGGGAUCUUAAGGCCGAGAGCUGAUGACGAGUAACUUUUAGUUAGAAGUGGUUGAUGCCAUGCUUCCAAGAAAAGCUUCUAAGCUUCAGGUAACCAGGAACCGUACCCCAAACCGACACAGGUGGUUGGGUAGAGAAUACCAAGGCGCUUGAGAGAACUCGGGUGAAGGAACUAGGCAAAAUGGCACCGUAACUUCGGGAGAAGGUGCGCCGGUGAGGGUGAAGGACUUGCUCCGUAAGCUCAUGCCGGUCGAAGAUACCAGGCCGCUGCGACUGUUUAUUAAAAACACAGCACUCUGCAAACACGAAAGUGGACGUAUAGGGUGUGACGCCUGCCCGGUGCCGGAAGGUUAAUUGAUGGGGUUAGCUAACGCGAAGCUCUUGAUCGAAGCCCCGGUAAACGGCGGCCGUAACUAUAACGGUCCUAAGGUAGCGAAAUUCCUUGUCGGGUAAGUUCCGACCUGCACGAAUGGCGUAACGAUGGCGGCGCUGUCUCCACCCGAGACUCAGUGAAAUUGAAAUCGCUGUGAAGAUGCAGUGUAUCCGCGGCUAGACGGAAAGACCCCGUGAACCUUUACUAUAGCUUUGCACUGGACUUUGAAUUUGCUUGUGUAGGAUAGGUGGGAGGCUUUGAAGCGUGGACGCCAGUUCGCGUGGAGCCAUCCUUGAAAUACCACCCUGGCAACUUUGAGGUUCUAACUCAGGUCCGUUAUCCGGAUCGAGGACAGUGUAUGGUGGGUAGUUUGACUGGGGCGGUCUCCUCCUAAAGAGUAACGGAGGAGUACGAAGGUGCGCUCAGACCGGUCGGAAAUCGGUCGUAGAGUAUAAAGGCAAAAGCGCGCUUGACUGCGAGACAGACACGUCGAGCAGGUACGAAAGUAGGUCUUAGUGAUCCGGUGGUUCUGUAUGGAAGGGCCAUCGCUCAACGGAUAAAAGGUACUCCGGGGAUAACAGGCUGAUACCGCCCAAGAGUUCAUAUCGACGGCGGUGUUUGGCACCUCGAUGUCGGCUCAUCACAUCCUGGGGCUGAAGCCGGUCCCAAGGGUAUGGCUGUUCGCCAUUUAAAGUGGUACGCGAGCUGGGUUUAGAACGUCGUGAGACAGUUCGGUCCCUAUCUGCCGUGGACGUUUGAGAUUUGAGAGGGGCUGCUCCUAGUACGAGAGGACCGGAGUGGACGAACCUCUGGUGUUCCGGUUGUCACGCCAGUGGCAUUGCCGGGUAGCUAUGUUCGGAAUAGAUAACCGCUGAAAGCAUCUAAGCGGGAAACUAGCCUCAAGAUGAGAUCUCACUGGAACCUUGAGUUCCCUGAAGGGCCGUCGAAGACUACGACGUUGAUAGGUUGGGUGUGUAAGCGCUGUGAGGCGUUGAGCUAACCAAUACUAAUUGCCCGUGAGGCUUGACCAU